GCCUGGGUGGCUCAGUAGGUUAAGCAUCUGACUUUGGCUCAGGUCAUGGUCUUAGGGUUUGUGAGUUCCAGCCCCACAUCAGGCU
rnacentral:tRNA from 1 species